rnacentral:lncRNA from 1 species
CUGCCAUGGUGUCUCACGCCUAUAAUCCCAGCACUUUGGGAGGCAGAGACAGGAGGAUUGCUUGAGGCCAGGAGUUUGAGACCAGCCUGGGCAACAUAGUGAGACCUUGUCUCUAUAAAAACAAAAAGCCUCCUGCAGAUCCCUCAUUCAAAUCACCUCGGAUUUUCAAAAGAAACAGCCAGACGAUGAUUCCGCUCCAAGUACAAGUAACAGCCAAUCAGAUUUGUUUUCCGAAGAGACCACCAGUGACAACAACAAUACCUCGAUAACCACGCCAACUCUUAGUCCCAGCCAGCAGCCGCUUCCGACAGAACUGAAUGUAACUUCACCGAGUAAAGAGGAGUCUUAUUAUGGCCCUUGGGUUAAGAACUCCUGGUCUAAGGAAAAAGUUGGUCAGGAUCUCAUCUGAUGGAAACUGGAUUGGAUUCGUGCAUACCAGGAUCGGGCCACCACAAAUCAAUUCAAGCCACCAAAAUGCAUGUGGGCCAUGCACAGACACAGCUCAUGUCUCAUUAAUCACACCAACAAAAAGAUCCUGUGGUACAGAUUCACAGUCUGAGAAUGAGGCUUCACCAGUAAAACGGCCACGACUACUUGAGAAUACGGAACGGUCCGAGGAAACCAGUCGAUCUAAACAGAAGAGUCGACGUCGGUGCUUCCAGUGCCAAACCAAACUGGAGCUGGUGCAGCAGGAAUUGGGAUCGUGUCGCUGCGGUUAUGUGUUCUGUAUGUUACAUCGCCUCCCCGAGCAGCACGACUGCACAUUCGACCACAUGGGCCGUGGCCGGGAGGAAGCCAUCAUGAAAAUGGUGAAGCUGGACCGGAAAGUGGGGCGCUCCUGCCAGCGCAUCGGGGAGGGGUGCUCCUGAAGGCCAGGCAUGGCCACCACGUGACGCUGUUCUUAGUUCACUAAUGUUAGCCUUAUUUAGGACAAAGUCAGCCAGACACCUUGUACUGGGCACGCGUCAGACUGCAGCCAGUCCGUUUCCUUUCUUUAGCCAGCCAUCCUGGUACUGUAGUUUAGGGGUUGAUGGUGGUUGAAAUUGAUUUCUGGCUGGUUACUAAGGUGCCUGCUAGCCAUUGUAUAAAAUUAAAACAUGAAGAAUAUUUUUUUUUUGAGCAUGGCUAGUGGAUUUAAAACAACACAUACCUGUCACUGCUGGAGUCAAACUUAUAAAAAGCCUUAAGUGG